AUGGCGAGCGCCUCCAUCUCUUCUCUGUUCCAUGCGCCACCCGGAUUCCCCUGCCAGAUCGCCGGCCGCCCCGCCCCCGCGCCCACGAAACCCCCCGGCCGCCUAGCCCCCGCCCCCACAAUCCGUUCCUCGAUGCGCUUCGCGGCUGCCCGCUGCGAGGCCGCCCUCGUCCCGGCGUGGCGGCUCCGCGCGCCGCCCCGUCGCCGGAACGUGCUGCGCUACAAGGCCUCGCCGCCGCUGGUGGUUCGCCCUCCCAGCCACGAGGCCCUCGAUUCUCGUCACCAGCUGGACAAGGACCUCCCUCCUUUGGUUGGUCGUACUGGAGAACCGCAGUCUGCUUCGUCCGAUGAUCACGCGUUACCGGAUCCUGAGGAGAAAUCGGGCAUUUCUGUUUGUCUAGAUGCCGGUCCAAGUGGGAAUGCAGUGGCUGGGUCCAACUUGGAUGGUCAGAAGGAUUUGGAUUGGGAUUCGGAGGAGAGCCAUCUCUGCGGCAAUGGGACCGGUCCUCUAUUCAGUGUAUAUGAAGACCCGGACGGCAAUUCAGUGCACGUUGAGGUGAAUGAGGAUGAAAUCGUUAGCAGGUGUGUAAAUGCAGAUGGAGAAGGGAGUGGCGAUUUGCAGUCCAUGUUGUCUCGUGCAAGAGUAAUGGCUAAGGGGUUUGAAAGUGGCGAACGUGAGGUUCCAAAGAAUAGCUCAUUGGUUCGGUUCCUAGCCACCGAGAAGAAGGAAUCGCGUGGUGUGGAUGCUGAUGUUUCAGUUGUGCAGACAAAUAGGACUGCCUCAAGGGCUGUUGCACGGGGUGGUUUUGCAGCAUUUUGUGGUGUGUGCAUUGUAUUGAUGGCGUCGAAGUUGAUUUGGAGGAACAUCAAGGCACCUUUUUCUAGAAAGUCGUUUCACGCACCUAGACCAGGGAUGAGAGCUGGUCAAUUGGACAAGGGUAACGGCAAGGUAAUCAGUAAUGCACAUAAGUUUCCAGGAGAUUUACUGGUAAGGCCGCAGUUAGAGAGGAGGGAAUUGAUGAACAACCUCAAAAAAGCCAAAAUGUCAAGAGAACGGUUUUCUUUCAGAAAUAUAUUUAGUUGCGGUACUGUUGCAAAUGAUGACAAUGCAAGAAUAACCGAGAUCAGAAGAAUGGUGACUGAUGUUCACACUCUAGAAGAAGGAAACCUUGGAAAAAGCAAAGGGGGAAACAAUAAUUCUGUUGUCUUUCCCCACCCAGUAGUUGCCACCAAGGAAGGGAUUUCAGCAAGUUAUGUUAGACAAUCUGUAGAUGAUGCAUCAGAGUUCGACAGUAGUGAAUUACCGAAUAUUAGUUCCUCCAAUGGUAUUACUGAGGAAAGUGUCAAGCAGCCUGUGGAUUUUAAGAACGGAGCACCAACCAUAGACACAUGUGUAAAAGAUCAGUUUGUUAUUGGAGAAAUUGAACAGCCUGAGUUCAGGUAUAAUGAUGAGGGCACAGCUGAUGCAAAGGAUAAAACUUCUGUCAUACAUGCAGCAGAAAAAGAACUACAUAUUUGUUCUGCAGAUGAUCAUAAUGUGAGUCCUAAUACCAUCAAUACCCCAUCACCUGAGUUUGAAAGAAAAGAACAGUUCGCGGAGAUAGCUGCUAGUAUUCAAGGACUAGAACCAUCUGAGCUGUUCAGUUGUGACAAACAGAUGAUUUGUAUAAAUGGUAGUGCUCAGCAGAUCAUCAAUAAUGUUGUCCCAGAAACUGCUGAUGUUUUUUCACCUAAUUGCUUUAACAUUUCAUCAUCUGGGUUGAAAUACAAUGGAGCAUCCCUAGCCAAUAGUGAAAAUGAUAUCAAUUGCAUGCAAGAAACUGAAGUACCGAUGGCCUUUGCAAAUGAUGCUCAGAUGGCUAACUGUGAAGGCUUUGCUCAUUCUGUAAGCAUAAUAGGUAAAGAAGCAUGUAAAGAUCCACUAAUGACCGAUAUAUCAACUAUGGAAUCACCUCAGAGAAUCAGUGAAAAGCCUGUGGAUUUGAUGACAUAUAACAUGCAAUCCAUGCAAGAACCAGAACCAUCCAACCAUGAUGGCAAAGAGAUAAUUUAUGCAAAUGCGAAGAACCAUAAGAAAGCCGUAGUACACAAUGAGACAAAGACUAGUUCAGAAACAGUUGAUGAAGCUAACACAUCUCCAUUAUACAUCCUACAAGAAACAGUUCAACACAGAGGUACAGAAGUUGAAAUAUCAGAGAAGGAAGUGAAAAUCACUUCCUCCAACAAAGAAGCGAGAGGGCAUCUUAAAAAGGAUAAAGCGGAACUACAGAAAGAAAUGUUCAGUGACAAGGUACCUGGAGCAAAGUUGUCAGCAGAAGGUGGUGUACCUGGAACUAGCAUUGUGGUUGAUCAAUCAAAUGGUGUACAGAAAACUAAAAGAGCGGCACGCAAACGGCUGAAGAAAGUGCAAACUAAUCAGGGAGCUGCAGAAAGAGUCACAGAACAAGAUGUCGCUCACAAUAGCAGCAUGGUUGGUCAGGAAAACAGUAGCCAGAAUGUUAGAAGGACAAGAAGAAAAAAUCAGACAAAUGCAUUUCACACCGAAGGAUCUCAAACAAGAGAAGAAAUUCCAGAAACAACUCCCAUGGCAAGUUUACCUGAUGAUGCACCAAUAGCUGAAAACAUGAAACCUCUUGUUGAGGCAGGUUCACCUGCUGGAACGCUAUCUUCAGAGGGUAUUCUUAGGGAAUCUCAGCCAAGUAGGUUCAAUACCCAUACAAUGAGGAAGGAAGAGUUAAAACUCAAAUUCCAAGCUUCCGAAAGGAUGGAGGCAGCCGCAACAGAAACUAAAACCAAUAUGCACAACUAUAGUGCCAUGCAUGAGGGAUCAACUGAUUUUGACAAGUCGAAGACGAAGAUGGGUGUAGCUGCUGCCAAGAAGUCCACAAAGAGAAAAUCAUUGUCGAAGCGUAGUAAGCCAAGUAAUUCAGUGUCAAAUAAAGACUCAGAGGAACCCACUGGUGACAGAUGUGCAUAA
rnacentral:rRNA from 1 species